rnacentral:rRNA from 1 species
UACGAAGGGGGCUAGCGUUGCUCGGAAUGACUGGGCGUAAAGGGCGCGUAGGCGGAUGGCACAGUCAGAUGUGAAAUUCCUGGGCUUAACCUGGGGGCUGCAUUUGAUACGUGUGAUCUAGAGUGAGGAAGAGGGUUGUGGAAUUCCCAGUGUAGAGGUGAAAUUCGCAGAUAUCGGGAGGAACACCGGUGGCGAAGGCGGUUCUCUGGGCCUGUACUGACGCUGAGGAGCGAAAGCGUGGGGAGCGAACAGG